AUGUUGGAAACCCUAACAACACAACAACGCGCCAUUCCGAUAAAUUCACAAAGUAAUGAAACAAAUCAUUUUCCUCUCUUCAACGCAUAUUCUCACCGGUGGACUUGGAAACAAGAUAAUCAGACACAAAAACUUCACAAUAUCACACACAAAGCCAAAACCCGGCAACCCCAACCCCAAUUUUGUGAUUCUCAUUAUGAUUUGAGGGAUUACAAUUACAUGGUUGAUAAAGCGUAA